CACGCUCGUGCUCUGUCUCUCAAAAAUAAAUAAAACAUUUAAAAAAAGUGCAGUUCAAACUGUAUGUCACUAUGGAACAUACUCUAACAACAAAUGAAACUUCAAAGAAACCUUAAACAUCAUUUAGUAUAUUUCUUGUUAAAAUGCACAGUAUUAUUUUGAAACUGAUGUAAAUUAGGACCAAAAAAAGUAACUAUGCUAAUGUUGUUAGGAGCCAAGAUUUCCAGUGUUAAAGAGACCAGGUAUAAAUUGAAGGAAGUUAAGGGAAAAUCUGUAAACUUCAAUUUGAAUUAGAAUCCAGAAAAUUGUAGAAUCUAUUGCAAUUACUUUUAUACAAUAACACUAAAACCAUGUUUUUCUCUUCUGGGUAUGUUGGUUCUCCAGUACCUAUGAUUAACCUUUUUAAGAGUUCUUCCUGCAAUAAUGGCAGAGAUUAGAGUAUGCUCUGUGAAAAGUAAUAAAAGGAAGUCUCCUUUAGAAUGCAGUUGGGAAGCCCUCAAGGUGAGCUCUCCUGCCCUAUGACUUGUCAAUUACAGACCCAGGGGAAGAGGAGGACCUUGCACAUGGCCACGCCUAUCCCAGCAAGAAGGAAGGCCUUUCUCCUCCCCUGGCAACAGCCCAGCCAAUGAGAGACUGCAACAAUGCAGCCAAUGAAAAGCCACUAUACUUUGAACUCCCAGUUUUCACCAAUGGACUUUCUGUUUAUAACAGCCGAGCUUCCCCUUUCCUCUAUAAAGGAACGUUCCUCGUUGAAGGGAGUUACCUAUAGUUUCUUGGGAGAGUGUGUGCUGUGGCUUGCGAUUCUCUGCUAUCCCCCAAUAAAUCCAUUUUUGCUGUUAAAAUAGCUGGUAGUUUUGUUUUGUAAGGUUAACUUACUUGGUGAUCAGAAGUGGGAUGCGAAGAAGACCCCCAGCAACUCGGAGGCUGGUGAACAAACCCGACAGCACGCACAGAGCCAAUUGGGCUCACUGCUUUCUCGCUGACCCUGGAGUUUGCGGUCCUAAAUCCAACAACCGGUGUCCUUAUAAGAGGCAGAAGAGAAGAUGCAAACUAUAGAGAAGGCCAUGGCCAUGUGAAAACAGAGAUAAAAGAAGCCACAAGCCAAGGAAUGUCUAAAGCCAUCAGAAGCUGCAAGGGGUAAGAAAUGAAUCUCUCCUAGAGCCUUUGAAGGGAAUAUAGCCCUCCCGACACCUUAAUUUCAGACUUUUUCUCACCAUAACUAUGAGGAAAUAAAUCUCUGUUGUUUUAAGCCA